CUGGAGGCUGGGGAGCAGAGGGGAGGCCCAGGGAGGACGGAAGGAUUAAGGAGAAGAAUGUGCCCCGUCUUACCAGCGAUGGACGCCGUCCUGACUGAUAAGCUCUGUGCCCCAGUGCCCAACAUGGGGCUUGAACUCAUGACCCUGAGAUCAAGAGUUGUAUGCUCUUACCCACUGAGCCAGCCAGGUCUGCCAAUAUAUUGAUUCCCUUCCUUCCUUCCUUCCU
rnacentral:lncRNA from 1 species